AGCAUGUGCAGGAGCAGCAGCAGGAGGAGUGGGAGGACGAAGAUGAGGAUCAGCAACAAGAUGCAGCAAUGGUGCCGGUUGUGCAGGUUCACAAUGAGGAGCCAUCUAACACUGUGUUAGCUGUUGAGCAAACAGAGGAAGUGAUCAUUGACCCACCUGCUCCUAAAGCAUUGCCACAUCUGGCAGCUACAAGAAGUGGUCGCGCAAGGCGUCCCUGCUUUGGAUGGAUCAGUGAGUCUGACAGUGACUCGGACUAUGAAGAAUUUCUCGCAAGUCGACAACAGGUGGUGCAUGUUCCAGCUGCAGGAGGAGACCUUGGUAAAAGGAAGCGGCUGACUAGAUGGGAUGUGAAGAAGGAAGCCACCUAACAGGAGUCUGAUAGAAGGCCACAGCAGGAUGCGUGGACAAGUGACGUAAUUCUCAGUAGCAGUAUGAUGCUAGUAUUACUAUUAUAUUUGGAGAACUGAAUUUGCAAUGGUAGUGUUGCACUAGUAGUAUAUAAGUAUGGAGUAGUGGCACUGGCUGGGUGUUAACCGUGGCGUGGACUUAAUUUGCAGUAUUAGUAUAACACUAAUAUUAUAUAUGUAAUACUAUGGAGCCCUGAGCUCGCAAUGGUAGUGCGAUACUAGUAUAUAUAUAUAUAAGUAAAACAAGCUUGGAGCAG